UCCCGACGGGGUGCUAUACAUGCAGUCGAGCGAAUGGAUUAAGAGCUUGCUCUUAUGAAGUUAGCGGCGGACGGGUGAGUAACACGUGGGUAACCUGCCCAUAAGACUGGGAUAACUCCGGGAAACCGGGGCUAAUACCGGAUAACAUUUUGAACCGCAUGGUUCGAAAUUGAAAGGCGGCUUCGGCUGUCACUUAUGGAUGGACCCGCGUCGCAUUAGCUAGUUGGUGAGGUAACGGCUCACCAAGGCAACGAUGCGUAGCCGACCUGAGAGGGUGAUCGGCCACACUGGGACUGAGAACACGGCCCAGACUCCUACGGGAGGCAGUCAGYAGGGAAUCUUCCGCAAUGGACGAAAGUCUGACGGAGCAACGCCGCGUGAGUGAUGAAGGCUUUCGGGUCGUAAAACUCUGUUGUUAGGGAAGAACAAGUGCUAGUUGAAUAAGCUGGCACCUUGACGGUACCUAACCAGAAAGGCCACGGCUAACUACGUGCCAGCAGCCGCGGUAAUACGUAGGUGGCAAGCGUUAUCCGGAAUUAUUGGGCGUAAAGCGCGCGGCCAGGUGGUUUCUUAAGUCUGAUGUUGAAAGCCCACCGGCUCAACCGUGGGAGGGUUCAUUGGAAACUGGGAGGACUUGAGGUGGCAGAAGAAGGAAAGUGGAAUUUCCAUGUGUUAGCCGGUGGAAAUGCGGUAGAGGAUAUGGAGGAACCACCAGUGGCGAAGGCGGACUUUYUGGUCUGUUAACUGACCACUGAGGCGCGAAAGCGUGGGGAGCAAACAGGAUUAGAUACCCUGGUAGUCCACCGCCGUAAACGAUGAGUGCUAAGUGUUAGAGGGUUUCCGCCCUUUAGUGCCUGAAGUUAACGCCAUUAAGCACAUCCGCCCUGGGGGGAGUACGGCCGCAAGGCUGGAACUCAAAAGGAAUUUGACGGGGGGCCGCACAAGCGGUGGAGCAUGGUGGUUUAAUUCGAAGCAACGCGGAAGAACCCUUACCCAGGUCCUGACAUCUCUUUGACCACCCUAGGAGGAUAGGGGCUUUCUCUUCGGGAGCAGAAUUGACCAGUGGGGCAUCAGGUUGUCCGUCAGCUUGGGUCGUGGAGAAGGUGGGGUAAGGUUCCGCAAGCGAGCGCAACCCCGUUGAUUUUAGCUUGCCCAAUCUCAUUAAUUGGGCCAUUUAAGGGGGCCGCCGGUGGCCAACCGGAGGAAGGGGGGGAAGGCGUCAAAUUCUCCAGCCCCUUAUGGCCUGGGGUACCCCCCUGGUUCCAAGGGCGGUACAAAGAAGCGCCAGGCCCCGAGGGGGAAGUAAUUUUAUAAAACCGUUUUCCAUUUGGAAUGUAGGGUGCAACUUGCCUACCAGAAGCCGGAAUCGGUUGUAAUCGCGGAUCAGCCAGCCGCGGUUAAUACCUUCCCCGGCCUUGUACCCCCCCCCCGGCCCCCCCCGGGGAUUUGUAACCCCCGGAGUCGGGGGGGUAACCCUUUUGGAGCCAGCCGCCUAAGGGGACCAGUUUUUUG
rnacentral:rRNA from 1 species